rnacentral:rRNA from 1 species
CCUACGGGGGGCAGCAGUGAGGAAUAUUGGUCAAUGGACGAGAGUCUGAACCAGCCAAGUAGCGUGAAGGAUGACUGCCCUAUGGGUUGUAAACUUCUUUUAUAUGGGAAUAAAAUGUUCCACGUGUGGGAUUUUGUAUGUACCAUAUGAAUAAGGAUCGGCUAACUCCGUGCCAGCAGCCGCGAUAAUACGGAGGAUCCGAGCGUUAUCCGGAUUUAUUGGGUUUAAAGGGAGCGUAGGUGGAUUGUUAAGUCAGUUGUGAAAGUUUGCGGCUCAACCGUAAAAUUGCAGUUGAAACUGGCAGUCUUGAGUACAGUAGAGGUGGGCGGAAUUCGUGGUGUAGCGGUGAAAUGCUUAGAUAUCACGAAGAACUCCGAUUGCGAAGGCAGUUCACUGGACUGCAACUGACACUGAGGCUCGAAAGUGUGGGUAUCAAACAGGAUUAGAUACCCUUGUAGUC